GAGGAUGUAGCUCAGUUGGUUAGAGCGCCAGGUUGUGGCCCUGGAGGUCGUGGGUUCGAUUCCCAUCAUCCUCCCCU
rnacentral:tRNA from 1 species